rnacentral:rRNA from 1 species
GUAGGUGGCAAGCGUUGUCCGGAAUUAUUGGGCGUAAAGCGCGCGCAGGUGGUUCUUUAAGUCUGAUGUGAAAGCCCCCGGGCUCAACCGGGGAGGGUCAUUGGAAACUGGGGAACUUGAGUGCAGGAGAGGAAAGUGGAAUUCCACGUGUAGCGGUGAAAUGCGUAGAUAUGUGGAGGAACACCAGUGGCGAAGGCGACUUUCUGGCCUGUAACUGACACUGAGGCGCGAAAGCGUGGGGAGCAAACAGGAUUAGAUACCCUGGUAGUCCACGCCAUAAACGAUGAGUGCUAAGUGUUGGGGGGUUUCCGCCCCUCAGUGCUGCAGCUAACGCAUUAAGCACUCCGCCUGGGGAGUACGGUCGCAAGACUG